GCGGGAUUCGGUUUUUCUCUUUUUUGUUUUGUUAAAAGUAUAUGACUCUAUAACUUUUAGACCGUGAGGCCAAACUUGGCAUGUGAUACCUUUUCGGAAAGCCCAAAGAGAGCUCUCCAUUUAAUGAGGAAGGAAAAUGGAAUUCUUUUAUUGUUUUUUUUCUACUCCAAAUUUUGACCCUUAAUGUACUUUUUCAUGCCUUUUCGUGAUCUUUGCUAUAUUACGGCGCGAAAAUUUUAUGUUCAGACAUUGUUUUUGAAUAUUUUGCAUGUAUCAAAACUCUUAUAAACAAGAUAGGGUAUUUCAAGAUAGCUGGUGGGACCCACGGGCAAAUGGAUCAUAAAGUCUUCAAAAAAGAAUAUAUACAAUUGCAUUGCAUGUAGUAACGGAUGCGAUCAUACCAGCACUAAUGCACCAGAUCCCAUCGAACUCCGUAGUUAAGCGUGCUUGGGCGAGAGUCGUACUAGGAUGGGUGACCUUCCUGGGAGAA
rnacentral:rRNA from 1 species